rnacentral:rRNA from 1 species
UAGGGAAUCUUCGGCAAUGGACGAAAGUCUGACCGAGCAACGCCGCGUGAGUGAAGAAGGUUUUCGGAUCGUAAAACUCUGUUGUUAGAGAAGAACAAGGACGUUAGUAACUGAACGUCCCCUGACGGUAUCUAACCAGAAAGCCACGGCUAACUACGUGCCAGCAGCCGCGGUAAUACGUAGGUGGCAAGCGUUGUCCGGAUUUAUUGGGCGUAAAGCGAGCGCAGGCGGUUUCUUAAGUCUGAUGUGAAAGCCCCCGGCUCAACCGGGGAGGGUCAUUGGAAACUGGGAGACUUGAGUGCAGAAGAGGAGAGUGGAAUUCCAUGUGUAGCGGUGAAAUGCGUAGAUAUAUGGAGGAACACCAGUGGCGAAGGCGGCUCUCUGGUCUGUAACUGACGCUGAGGAUCGAAAGCGUGGGGAGCAAACGGG